GCGCAGCCAAUCAGCGGCCGGGGUUUGGCCCCCCAGGAAAAUGGCGGCAGCGAGGCCCCCCCAAGCUCGGGAUUCGCUUUAUGGACUUAUUUUAGUAACUCCGUCCUUAUCCAGCCCUUCAAAGCACCUUCUCAUGGGGAACAGAACCCUGUCAGUUCUGGGAUUCUGUGAUCCUGUGAUGUUAGCAGUUCACACACCAGAAAAUCUCCAGGGACCUUCUGGCUGAGCAUUGUAUACAAACAGCCAUAAAUUACUGCAUUUACAUUUACAUCACUACGCUAUUACAUGAAGGCUCAGAUCGGGAGCAGCACCUUCUGUUUUCCUCUAUUUAGUUUUUUUUCCUGUGUGCUCAUUCCCAUUUUAAAGUCCCCCCUAUUUACCUGCAGCACAGUCUAGACAGCUAAUGAAAUAAUAAGAGCCCAGCGGGUUUUUACAAGAACGUAGACAAAAAGAGCAUCAGAAAUAAAUACAUGAGUAAGAACUGGAAGGUCGAUGGCUCGGUACUGAGGGUGCCACAGGCAAGGGUGUCCCGGGAUUAUGAGGUGCAUUACUGCCAUUCCUAAAAUCCCCAAAGGAAUCACCCCGUUGUUCUAAGGACCGUGGAGGAACAGCAGGUCACAUUUAUAAAAUGUGCUUAAAGAUGUAGUUGAAUCCCAAAGGGAUUUUUCCAGACAGUUCAUAAAACCAGGUUGUGAGUCACCCCUGGAAGCUAAUGGGAGUAAGGCCUGGAACUUAUCUAGGUGCUUUUAAUAAAUCCUGCUCUUUCCAUAUCGACAUGAUUAAAUACAUAAUAUGCUUUUUUUAACUGUGACCCAGUGUUUAUGCAGUGCCAAGAGCAGCAAGCUGAGCACUAAAAUGCUCCAUACUUCUGGAAAAUAGUGCCUACUCUGGAGAAUCCAAAAUAUUAAUGAGCAGGUAGUGUGCAGUCAGACUGAGACAGAGAAACGAAGCUUUCUCCUCUAAAAACCUCACAGCAGGGCUUUAAUCUUUUAAUUUUUAAAGAUGCUUUUGCAUAGACUUUAAAUUUCAGAAGUUGCCUCUGAACUAUCAAGGCUAGAUUUUUUCAUUCCCUCUGUUCACUGCAGGUCGAGCAUCCUGACCAAAACAGUCAGGCAUUGCUGGAUUCCUGUCACCCUCCACACAAGGCAUGGAAAAGCAACGGAGGAACAAUCCUCUGGAAAACCAAGUUCUCACAUUCCCCCUUCUCACAGCGGAGAGAAACAGGGAAUAAUCGUCCCUGGUACCGCUACCUAUUCCAUUCCCUGCUGUUGCUCAUCAGUCCCCUGGUUGCCCAUCAGUUUUUCCAGCCCGUGGAGGGUGUUGUCGCGUGGUCCUUCCUCCCGUCUUACUCGCGGCUGUUGUUUCUGGAGCUGCCAGUACUACUGCUUGGCACGGCUCCCCCGGUGACUCCGAGCUGGUGGCAGGCAGGGCUGAGCCCUGCCCAGCGCUUUCCCAGGAAGGCCUGGCUUCCUCUCAGAGGAAAACCAGCUCGGCCCCCGGAGCGUGUCUGCCCGUCCAUCGGGGAGAAAAUAAAAAGUGAUUCAGCUUAUUUUUGUCUCCCCGCCGACGUCCCCGGUGAAGCGGAGCUGGUGUGGUUUGAUUUGAAACACGUUCCUCGCUUACAGCAGGGAUUUUAUUUGAAUGUUGAUUGUUUGUUUAUCAUUCCCUUCUAUGUAUGUGGCUGGGUAAAAAGCCCUUUUGUUUUGAAGCGUCCUGUGAACUGCAGCAGGAAGCUCAGGAACUCCUGGUGGACUGAAUGAAACACAGUCAAUGAUAAUAAAAUUAUAGAAGGUUGGAGCCAGGAGGAAACUAAGUAGAUGGUGUAGUUGGACUUCCCACACUAAACCUGGACUUGGAUGUUUGCUGGCGUGUUCUUAAACAUUUUUAACACCUCCAGGGAGCUUCCAUAACAUUGUGAGAUGGAUCUUCUGAAUGUUCCACCUCUGUGACAGUGAGAAGCUCUUGACUAACUUGGCAAAAUUGAGCAUGGAAGAAGUUUAAAUUGCUCUGAAGUGCCCUCCUCUAACUGAAAUAGGUUAGAACUAAAUGUGUUGUUAGAACAGGAAGAUAUUUGGAGUGAGUGAUGUCUGACACCUUCUUUGCUCAAAUCUGGCUGUCUGGACACACACCCUGAGGUCUUGGACACUCAACUUCCUCUUCACUUUCUGGUCUCCAGCAUCUCAGAAAAGCCAAGAGAUCUGCCCUGGGCCAAGGUGCCGGAUUAAACCUGGGAUUAAAGCCUGGGAUUGCUCAACAGUAGCUUUGAUACACCCAGAGCUGGUCCCAUCCGCAGCCUGGGGCUUGGAAUCGCAUUCCAAUGGGUAUCCCUAAUUCCCCCAGUGCAGAGAACAAUCCUGUGCAGUCAGUCUGCUUCCUGUGCAUUGUGACUGCUGGCUGAUGACCAC